rnacentral:rRNA from 1 species
AAUUUUGGACAAUGGGGGAAACCCUGAUCCAGCCAUGCCGCGUGUGUGAAGAAGGUCUUCGGAUUGUAAAGCACUUUAAGAUGGGAGGAAGGGCAGUAAGUUAAUACCUUGCUGUUUUGACGUUACCGACAGAAUAAGCACCGCAUGAUUCUGUGCCAGCAGCCGCGGUAAUACAGAGGGUGCAAGCGUUAAUCGGAAUUACUGGGCGUAAAGCGCGCGUAGGUGGUUCAGUAAGAUGGGUGUGAAAUCCCCGGGCUUAACCUGGGAACUGCUUUCAUAACUGCUGAGCUAGAGUAUGGCAGAGGGUGGUGGAAUUUCCUGUGUAGCGGUGAAAUGCGUAGAUAUAGGAAGGAACACCAGUGGCGAAGGCGACCACCUGGGCUAAUACUGACACUGAGGUGCGAAAGCGUGGGGAGCAAAC